rnacentral:rRNA from 1 species
CAAACCGGAGGAAGGUGGGGACGACGUCAAGUCAUCAUGGCCCUUAUGUCCUGGGCUACACACGUGCUACAAUGGCCGGUACAGAGCGCCGCGAGGCCGCGAGGCGGAGCGAAUCGCUUAAAGCCGGUCCCAGUACGGAUUGGAGUCUGCAACCCGACUCCAUGAAGUUGGAAUCGCUAGUAAUCGCGCAUCAGCAUGGCGCGGUGAAUACGGUUCCCGGGCCUU